UCUAGGCCAGCAAGGCUGUGUUCCAGGCCACAGGAUUGAAGCAGAGGAAAAGGAGGAAGAGGAAAAAGAGGGGAGACACCGUAUACAACAGUGGGCAACCAAAAAGCCCUUUUCAUUCACCGGUGUCAGGGAGCUUACUCCUCUGGGGACUGCAGCAAGGUGGCAGAAAUUGUUGUUCUUGAUGCCUGACUUUUCGUAAGGCCACAGCUCACAAUGGCCAAAAAUCCAAGGUGACUGUGUUCCCAGCACUCUGAUGGGUGCUCUCAUCACAAAGCCAUACUGUCCCAAGGGGUAGGGGGCACAGAGAGGUGACAUGGUGAACACUCCCCAAAGACUCACUUGACCCAGCACCAAGCUCACUGAGAUCCCCAGACACAUGCCACCAGCCAGGGAGUGACUUAGAACCCACUCGGUUCCUCUGGUUAAAGCAAUGCCUGGCUAAGACGGCUGACAUCAUCGCCACAUACAGGAAGGAAGGAAGAUGUGGGAGCAGAGAGGAAGAGGACCUAGAGGGUGAAGCAUCAAUGGAGAGCAGUCUCCCAAAGCAAUAGCGGGGAACGCAGCCAUGCCUGUAGGCUUCGUGCUCCCAAAUGGACCGAGACAAAAAGAUACGGAGACAAAAGCUCAGAUCCUGUGCUUGUCACUGAUGCUAAAUGCUUACGACGGUAACAGAGAGCCUGCAGCAGCGAUGUGGAUUUAUAGAAACCAGAGCCCCUCCGUUGGCAGAAGGCUAUGAGGAAAUGCAUUGCUUACACAUGAAGUAAGAGCUUAAUAAUUGUGACUUAAAACAAUUGUCAUUUAGAAUAUUUAAACCCUAAAGGCUUGGUUUGAUUUACCUUUCUGUUCCUUAUCCAAAACCUAAAUUAAAAAAACUAAAA